rnacentral:rRNA from 1 species
GAUGAACGCUAGCGGCAGGCCUAACACAUGCAAGUCGAGGGGUAGAGGAAGCUUGCUUCCUUGAGACCGGCGCACGGGUGCGUAACGCGUAUGCAAUCUACCUUUUACAGAGGGAUAGCCCAGAGAAAUUUGGAUUAAUACCUCAUAGUAUAUAUCAUUCGCAUGUUUGGUAUAUUAAAGUUCCAACGGUAAAAGAUGAGCAUGCGUCCCAUUAGUUAGUUGGUAAGGUAGCGGCUUUCCAAGACGAUGAUGGGUAGGGGUCCUGAGAGGGAGAUCCCCCCCACUGGUACUGAAACACGGACCAGACUCCUACGGGGGGAAGCAGUGAGGUAUAUUGGUCAAUGGACGCAAGUCUGAACCAGCCAUGCCGCGUGCGGGAAGACGGUCCUAUGGAUUGUAAACUGCUUUUGUACGGAACGAAACGGUCUGGGUUAAUACCCUGGGCUAAUGACGGUACCGUAAGAAUAAGCACCGACUAACUACGUGCCAGCCGCCGCAGUAAUAC